ensembl:lncRNA
GUCUGGGGAAUGAGUGAGUGCAGAGCCCGCGCCCGUGCAAUCAAUCAAGUAGCUGUGUGUGUGUGUGUGUGUGUGUGUGUGUGUGUGUGUGUGUGUGUGUGUGUGUGUAGUGAAACAUAGAAAAUAGAUUAUUUUAAUUGCUAAUUGUACUUGAGACCCCUACCAAGAUAUUUUUUAAAAAUGUGGCCUAAAUGUUCUCCCCAACAGGCGCAGUAGUGAAGGAAUUACAGUUUAUUCAGAGGCUGACUGUGCAGCUGCUGAUUGGAGUACAAAGAGCAGUAAUCAAGAAUUCUCACCCACUGCGGUCUGAGAAGCAUGGCCUUUUCCUGGAGUCUGGAAGCACAGCGGUGUCUCAGGAGUUUGCGAUGUCACUCUGGGACGGACCCGGACCGAGAGUCUCAAGGUCACUGGUCAGGCCAGGGAAACCACGUGAGGUCUCAGCUGCAGCGAAGAACGUGUAUCCUGACGAUGUUACCCAGGACUGGACAACGACCCAGGGCAGGUCCAUGGGCUCACCGGAUAGGUGGAUAUGACUCCACUGUAAGUUUAGGAACAUCUUCCCUGGCAAAUAGGAGCCCUACAUUUCUACUUCUGGAAGUAACAGCCAAGACCCUCCCAGAGGACUCAGCUCCUGCAGAACAACCACAAAAUCUGAACAGGACACAGAAGCAACUACCCGCAGCGCUGGGGAACAGCAGGGGCAGAUGGCUUUGCAGAGGUGGCGAACCUGUGUAAGACCGAGGGCCUUACCAAACGCUCUGAGGAGCUGACUGCAGGGAAGAACACCUGGGAAGGAACACACCGGACAAGUUGGAAAGUAAAACAGACCUUAGUCUGGCCAGACUGCACUCCCAAAGCAAAGUAGCUUAGAGAGGCGACUAGCCCAGAGUCCAAGGCUCUUUUUUGCAGGGGAAGUUAACAGGCGAAAUUUACAGAAGAGGAACAAAGGUUAGUGGUCAGCUGACACGUACUGAUGGUCAGCAGAUGUUUGUAGAUUGUUCUAUAGAUAGCGGUGUCCGGAACAUCAGUUUCGAACAAAGAGUUGAGUAAUUUACUUUGGGACCUUAUGGCUGAUACAGAUCUUAUCUAGUGUCCUGGAACUAACAAGCAUCUUUAUCUAUUUACUCACAUUUACAGUUGGGGCUAGGGGAGUUUUAUGAUUACAGAGUUAUGCAGUCCCCCACCUGUGGCACGCAUGCCACAGUGGGCCAUGUGUUAUUACCAAAAGCUCUAAAAGGUUCACCAUCACUGGCUCCUAGUGAAGACCGUGAGCUGUCGGGAGGGAGAGGAGGGUCACAACUCAGUCAGUCCCCAUGCCCAGGUCUUAGCUGGAGGCCAAGAGAAGCCUGCACUCGGUGCACACGGCAAUACCAGGGACAGACACGAAAAACACCUGCAGCCUGAUUUUUUCUGAAAAAUCAGAAAAGUGGACACUUAAAAGAGAAAGAGACGCUUACAAGGGGAAAAGAGAGAAGAUCCCAACUCAGCCUUCCCACGUCUCUGACUGAACCCUGACCCAAGUACCAUGGAGCAGACACAAAAUGGCUCAGCUGAAGACAGCAGCAACCACAGAAAUUCCAAACCGAGACUUCCAUCCAAGAAAAAGAGUGUGCGUUCAGGUCGAGCGGAGACUGAUAUCUGCUAACACAGAGGAAAAAGACUCCUUAGAGAAAAGAAAAAUCCAGAAUCUCCACAAACUAACUUUCAUAAUACUCAGGACACAAUCCAAAAUUACACGAUAUGGAAAAAAAAAAACUAGGAAACAUUCUUAACAGAAAAAAAUUCAACCAAGCCCAACCUUAUAAUGAACCAGAUGUUGGACCUAACAGAAAAGGAUUUUGAAUUUGCUCUUCUAACUCCCCUCAGGGAAAGAGCACAACCAUGAUUUCAAGGACUACAAACACCAGCAGAGAAAUGAAAGUCUGAACAAGGAAACAGAAACAGCAAAGAGGAAACAAAUAGAAACAAAGAACCAAACUUAAAAAAAUACAAUUUCGUAAAUAAGAAUUCACUUACUAGACUAAAAACUGAAUGACUGUGAUGGAUGAAAGAAUAAGAAAACGUGAAGAUCGAUCCACAGAAAUACACUAGGUGAAGAGGGGAGCAGAGAGGGAGAGGGAGGGGCAAGGACUGGAAAGAACCAGACCCUUAGUGAGCUGUGAGAUGACAUCAAAUGGUAAGUUAUAUGUGUAACUGGAACACCAGAAUAAGAGGGGAGAAAGAACAGAAAAGAAACGCUUGAAGGAAUAACAACUGAAAGUUUCCCAAAUUGGUCGAAAGACCAAAAGCUGCAGAUACGAGACAUAUUUCACAGAAGGAGGCCAACGUCAAGGCACAUCUGCUGGAAGCCGCUGUGGUCCAAGUGUGUCCCGAACAGGCUUUCUGUUGGAAAUGCAUUUGCCAGUGUGAUUAUGUUAAGAGGUGCAGCCUUUAGGAGGUGAUUCAGUCACGAAGGUGAAGCCCUCAGGGAUGACAUGAGGACCCUUACAAGAGUCCACUGGGUUUGUCCCCAUCGAUCUCUUCUGCCCUGUGACAACACAGUGUUUGCCACCUUUAUCAUUCUGUCUUCUACCAGGUAGGGGAACAGCAACAAGAUGCCUCCUGGAAGCAAGGAACAGACGCACAUGCCCCAAACCUGUACCUUGAUACAGAAGAACAACAAUCCAGUGUCAGCUGACUUUUCUCUAAAAACCAAGGAAAGCCAAAGAGAGUACAGCAACAUUUUUACAGUCCUGAAAUCAAAACAACAUCAAAAACAAAAAACCACCUGUCAACUCAGAGAAACUAUCACUUAAGAAUAAAUGUGUGGGCUGGUGUUCAGCUCAGUGACACAGCAAGUGCUUAGCACGUAUGGAGCCCUGGGUUCAAUUCCCAGUAACCCCACCUCCAAAGGCAAAAUAGAGAGAGACGUUUCAUUUAAAAGAAAAUUUAGAGGAUUGUUCACCAGCAAAUUGCCACUCUAAGAAAUGCUAAAAGAAAUUUCUUCAGAGGAAAAUUGAUACCAGUCAGAAUUCCAAGAUUUUCAGAAAACAAUGAAAAACAGGAAUGUAAAUACUUCGAUCAAUGCAAAAGAAGUUAUUUUGCCUUUUUCCCUUUACCUUUGUUUUCAUAAACAAUAACUGUUCAAAAAUUGUAAUAUGGUCUUUGUGGGUAUAAACCAACAGAAUUGUGACAUGCUGGUAUGCUCAUCAGACAGACCACAUUUGCUGGCCAUAAAACCCACCUCAAUACAUUUGAAAAGUUUGAAGUCCUGUAGGCCAAGUGCUCUGACCACAGA